rnacentral:rRNA from 1 species
AGUGAACGCUGGCGGUAGGCCUAACACAUGCAAGUCGAACGGCAGCACAGUAAGAGCUUGCUCUUACGGGUGGCGAGUGGCGGACGGGUGAGGAAUACAUCGGAAUCUACUUUUUCGUGGGGGAUAACGUAGGGAAACUUACUCUAAUACCGCAUACGACCUACGGGUGAAAGCAGGGGAUCUUCGGACCUUGCGCGAUUGAAUGAGCCGAUGUCGGAUUAGCUAGUUGGCGGGGUAAAGGCCCACCAAGGCGACGAUCCGUAGCUGGUCUGAGAGGAUGAUCGGCCACACUGGAACUGAGACACGGUCCAGACUCCUACGGGAGGCAGCAGUGGGGAAUGUUGGACAAUGGGCGCAAGCCUGAUCCAGCCAGACCGCGUGGGUGAAGGAGGCCUUCGGGUUGUAAAGCCCUUUUGUUGGGAAAGAAAAGCAGCAGGUUAAGACCCAGCUGUUCUGACGGUACCCAAAGAAUAAGCACCGGCUAACUUCGUG